GUCGCAAGACCAAAGAGGGGGACCUUCGGGCCUCUUGCCAUCGGAUGUGCCCAGAUGGGAUUAGCUUGUUGGUGAGGUAACGGCUCACCAAGGCGACGAUCCCUAGCUGGUCUGAGAGGAUGACCAGCCACACUGGAACUGAGACACGGUCCAGACUCCUACGGGAGGCAGCAGUGGGGAAUAUUGCACAAUGGGCGCAAGCCUGAUGCAGCCAUGCCGCGUGUAUGAAGAAGGCCUUCGGGUUGUAAAGUACUUUCAGCGGGGAGGAAGG
rnacentral:rRNA from 1 species